ACGAUGGGCCGGGCCGCCGCCUGGAAGCCCUGCCGCUGCGGCGGGGGUUUUCAGGAGGAAAGUCCGGGCUCCGCAGGGCAUGAUGCCGGGUAAUACCCGGGAGGAGGGCGCCCAAGCGCCUUUCGACAGACAGCGCAGCAGAAAAUAUACCACCCGGCCCUGCCGGGAAAGGGUGAAAAGGCGGGGUAAGAGCCCACCGCGGCGGCGGCAACGCCGCCGGCUCCGGAGUUUUGCCGCAAGGCGGGACUUUCCGGAGCCGGUUUUUUCCGGCAGCGGGAAAAACCGGCCUGCAAGCCUCAUCAGGAGCAAAGCCAAGCAGUAACAGGGCGGCCCGCCCUAUGUUACGGGUAGGCUGCUCGGGUAAAACCCGGGACGCCGUCCGCAAGGCCGGCGCGAGAUAGAUGGCGGUCCGGCGGCGGUUUGAGGCCGCCGCCGGUACAGAACCCGGCUUACGGUCCAUCGUUUUU
rnacentral:RNase_P_RNA from 1 species